AGGACGAACGCUGGCGGCGUGCCUAACACAUGCAAGUCGAACGCGCUCCAUUCGGUAGCAAUACUGAUGAAGAGCGAGUGGCGAACGGGUGAGUAGCACGUGAGCAACCUGCCCCGAAGACCGGGACAACACCGGGAAACCGGUGCUAAUACCGGAUAUCCCUAUCGGACCGCAUGAUCUGAUAAGGAAAUGGAUUCCGCUUCGGGAGGGGCUCGCGGCCUAUCAGCUAGUUGGUGAGGUAACGGCCCACCAAGGCAUCGACGGGUAGCUGGUCUGAGAGGACGAUCAGCCACACUGGGACUGAGACACGGCCCAGACUCCUACGGGAGGCAGCAGUGGGGAAUCUUGCGCAAUGGGCGAAAGCCUGACGCAGCAACGCCGCGUGGAGGACGAAGGCUUUCUGAGUUGUAAACUCCUUUCAGCAGGGACGAUAGUGACGGUACCUGCAGAGAAGCACCGGCCAACUACGCGCCAGCAGCCGCGGUUAAC
rnacentral:rRNA from 1 species